rnacentral:rRNA from 1 species
UUAAGCGACUAAGCGUACACGGUGGAUGCCCUGGCAGUCAGAGGCGAUGAAGGACGUGCUAAUCUGCGAAAAGCGUCGGUAAGGUGAUAUGAACCGUUAUAACCGGCGAUGUCCGAAUGGGGAAACCCAGUGCAAUUCGUUGCACUAUCGUUAACUGAAUACAUAGGUUAACGAGGCGAACCGGGGGAACUGAAACAUCUAAGUACCCCGAGGAAAAGAAAUCAACCGAGAUUCCCCCAGUAGCGGCGAGCGAACGGGGAGCAGCCCAGAGUCUGAAUCAGCUUGUGUGUUAGUGGAACGGUCUGGAAAGUCCGACGGUACAGGGUGAUAGUCCCGUACACCAAAAUGCACAGGUUGUGAACUCGAAGAGUAGGGCGGGACACGUGGUAUCCUGUCUGAAUAUGGGGGGACCAUCCUCCAAGGCUAAAUACUCCUGACUGACCGAUAGUGAACCAGUACCGUGAGGGAAAGGCGAAAAGAACCCCGGCGAGGGGAGUGAAAAAGAACCUGAAACCGUGUACGUACAAGCAGUGGGAGCACCUUCGGGUGUGACUGCGUACCUUUUGUAUAAUGGGUCAGCGACUUAUAUUCUGUAGCAAGGUUAACCGUAUAGGGGAGCCGCAGGGAAACCGAGUCUUAACUGGGCGUUAAGUUGCAGGGUAUAGACCCGAAACCCGGUGAUCUAGCCAUGGGCAGGUUGAAGGUUGGGUAACACUAACUGGAGGACCGAACCGACUAAUGUUGAAAAAUUAGCGGAUGACUUGUGGCUGGGGGUGAAAGGCCAAUCAAACCGGGAGAUAGCUGGUUCUCCCCGAAAGCUAUUUAGGUAGCGCCUCGUGAACUCAUCUUCGGGGGUAGAGCACUGUUUCGGCUAGGGGGUCAUCCCGACUUACCAACCCGAUGCAAACUACGAAUACCGAAGAAUGUUAUCACGGGAGACACACGGCGGGUGCUAACGUCCGUCGUGAAGAGGGAAACAACCCAGACCGCCAGCUAAGGUCCCAAAGUCAUGGUUAAGUGGGAAACGAUGUGGGAAGGCACAGACAGCCAGGAUGUUGGCUUAGAAGCAGCCAUCAUUUAAAGAAAGCGUAAUAGCUCACUGGUCGAGUCGGCCUGCGCGGAAGAUGUAACGGGGCUAAACCAUGCACCGAAGCUGCGGCAGCGACACUAUGUGUUGUUGGGUAGGGGAGCGUUCUGUAAGCCUGCGAAGGUGGCCUGUGAGGGUUGCUGGAGGUAUCAGAAGUGCGAAUGCUGACAUAAGUAACGAUAAAGCGGGUGAAAAGCCCGCUCGCCGGAAGACCAAGGGUUCCUGUCCAACGUUAAUCGGGGCAGGGUGAGUCGACCCCUAAGGCGAGGCCGAAAGGCGUAGUCGAUGGGAAACAGGUUAAUAUUCCUGUACUUGGUGUUACUGCGAAGGGGGGACGGAGAAGGCUAUGUUAGCCGGGCGACGGUUGUCCCGGUUUAAGCAUGUAGGCUGGUUGUCCAGGCAAAUCCGGAUAAUCAAGGCUGAGGUGUGAUGACGAGGCACUACGGUGCUGAAGUAACAAAUGCCCUGCUUCCAGGAAAAGCCUCUAAGCAUCAGGUAACAUUAAAUCGUACCCCAAACCGACACAGGUGGUCAGGUAGAGAAUACCAAGGCGCUUGAGAGAACUCGGGUGAAGGAACUAGGCAAAAUGGUGCCGUAACUUCGGGAGAAGGCACGCUGGUGUGUAGGUGAAGCCCCUGCGGGUGGAGCUGAGACCAGUCGAAGAUACCAGCUGGCUGCAACUGUUUAUUAAAAACACAGCACUGUGCAAACACGAAAGUGGACGUAUACGGUGUGACGCCUGCCCGGUGCCGGAAGGUUAAUUGAUGGGGUUAUCCGUAAGGAGAAGCUCUUGAUCGAAGCCCCGGUAAACGGCGGCCGUAACUAUAACGGUCCUAAGGUAGCGAAAUUCCUUGUCGGGUAAGUUCCGACCUGCACGAAUGGCGUAAUGAUGGCCAGGCUGUCUCCACCCGAGACUCAGUGAAAUUGAACUCGCUGUGAAGAUGCAGUGUACCCGCGGCAAGACGGAAAGACCCCGUGAACCUUUACUAUAGCUUGACACUGAACAUUGAGCCUUGAUGUGUAGGAUAGGUGGGAGGCUUUGAAGCGUGGACGCCAGUCUGCGUGGAGCCAACCUUGAAAUACCACCCUUUAAUGUUUGAUGUUCUAACGUUGGCCCCUGACCGGGGUUGCGGACAGUGUCUGGUGGGUAGUUUGACUGGGGCGGUCUCCUCCCAAAGCGUAACGGAGGAGCACGAAGGUUAGCUAAUCCUGGUCGGACAUCAGGAGGUUAGUGCAAUGGCAUAAGCUAGCUUGACUGCGAGCGUGACGGCGCGAGCAGGUGCGAAAGCAGGUCAUAGUGAUCCGGUGGUUCUGAAUGGAAGGGCCAUCGCUCAACGGAUAAAAGGUACUCCGGGGAUAACAGGCUGAUACCGCCCAAGAGUUCAUAUCGACGGCGGUGUUUGGCACCUCGAUGUCGGCUCAUCACAUCCUGGGGCUGAAGUAGGUCCCAAGGGUAUGGCUGUUCGCCAUUUAAAGUGGUACGCGAGCUGGGUUUAGAACGUCGUGAGACAGUUCGGUCCCUAUCUGCCGUGGGCGCUGGAGAAUUGAGGGGGGCUGCUCCUAGUACGAGAGGACCGGAGUGGACGCAUCACUGGUGUUCGGGUUGUCAUGCCAAUGGCACUGCCCGGUAGCUAAAUGCGGAAGAGAUAAGUGCUGAAAGCAUCUAAGCACGAAACUUGCCCCGAGAUGAGUUCUCCCUGAGACUUUAAGUCUCCUGAAGGAACGUUGAAGACGACGACGUUGAUAGGCCGGGUGUGUAAGCGCAGCGAUGCGUUGAGCUAACCGGUACUAAUGAACCGUGAGGCUUAACCUU